GGCUGCUUUUUCUCGUGGGUAAAUUUUUAGAAAGAUCACUUCCCUUCUGAGAUGGAAACUCGACCCAUUUCUGCAAAUGCCUGUAACUCUAUCUUUGCAGCAUCAUAGAGUGCCCAUACUGGGCAUGCCGCACAGGCUUACACCCCAAAGAAGAUUGCAUAAAGAUGGCCGUUCUGCAUGGAAUGGAAUUCUCUGCAGAAGACACACAGAAAACACGGGCACACAGCCAAUAUAUUCUACUUGGAAUCCGGGAUACUUGCUUUGCCCAGUACAAUGUAGCAAAACUUGGUGCUGGACAGAUUCUGAGUUCAGACCUCAAAAAAAACAUAUAGGCUCUGAUUUCUCUUUUACAACCCUGAUAAGUCAGAAAAUAAGAAAGCCUGAGAUAAACUGCUGGAUGAUUGGUUGCCAUGUUGAGAAGAUAAGAGGCACUGCAUCUGACAGCAGCCAGUUUCCAGAAAACCUAGCACCUGUCUUCAGAUGCAUGAGUGAGGCCCAGCCAAGAUCAGCUAAGUCUGGCUUAAAUUAGCAGAACUACCCAUUCCAAAUCUGAGCUCAUCUCAGGUUGCUGACCAGCAAAACUGUGAUCCAAAGAUAAAACUUGAAUUAAAAGAAGAGGCAAGAACUGGUGCUUCAUUCAUCUCUCCCAUCAACUCUCUCUUUGUGGUCCUGAUUUGUCAGUGAGAAUGUACUGGAGUUUGC
rnacentral:lncRNA from 1 species